UUGAGCGAAACUACGGGGCGAGACGACGACGCGCAGAAGAGGAGCUUCAAGGUGCCGUAGCAGCCCGAAGACCGCGAAUUGAAAUCGCGGACUUAGUUGCGGAGGCACCAUCACCUCGAUACACCCCCGACGGUGAAUCAUCAGAUGACGACGACGAUACUCGAGGUAAUUUUGACAGAGUUCCAUCCUCAGCCGAUGAGGCUAUAUUUACUUCAGUGUAAGCAAACGAGACGGAGGACGAAGAAGAAAGAGAGGAAAGAGCGACGCAGGAGGAGGAAGAGGAGGAAACCGAAAAAGAAGCAUUAAGAGAAGAUGAGGAGGAGGAUACAGACGAAGAUGAAGAAGAGGAGGCAGAAGAUCAAGAGGAAGAG
rnacentral:lncRNA from 13 species